rnacentral:rRNA from 1 species
ACAAUGGAGAGUUUGAUCCUGGCUCAGGAUGAACGCUAGCGGCAGGCUUAAUACAUGCAAGUCGAGGGGCAGCAUGACUGUAGCAAUACAGUUGAUGGCG